UGAGCGCUGGCGGCGUGCCUAAUACAUGCAAGUCGAGCGAACAGACGAGGAGCUUGCUCCUUUGACGUUAGCGGCGGACGGGUGAGUAACACGUGGAUAACCUACCUAUAAGACUGGGAUAACUUCGGGAAACCGGAGCUAAUACCGGAUAACAUGUUGAACCGCAUGGUUCAACAGUGAAAGACGGUCUUGCUGUCACUUAUAGAUGGAUCCGCGCCGCAUUAGCUAGUUGGUAAGGUAACGGCUUACCAAGGCAACGAUGCGUAGCCGACCUGAGAGGGUGAUCGGCCACACUGGAACUGAGACACGGUCCAGACUCCUACGGGAGGCAGCAGUAGGGAAUCUUCCGCAAUGGGCGAAAGCCUGACGGAGCGACGCCGCGUGAGUGAAGAAGGUCUUCGGAUCGUAAAACUCUGUUAUUAGGGAAGAACAAAUGUGUAAGUAACUAUGCACGUCUUGACGGUACCUAAUCAGAAAGCCACGGCUAACUACGUG
rnacentral:rRNA from 1 species